rnacentral:lncRNA from 1 species
AUAGACGUUUAUUGCAAGAAUUGGAGAUCAAUUUGGUGGAUUUUGCCGUAGUACAAAUUUAGGGCUCGAAAAUGGCGAUUUGAUUUACAGGAGGGUUUGAUCUCUUUUAACACUCUGUAAACCUAAUUGGUAGGUCUACGAACGCAACGGAAGCGACGGUUUGGCAAUCCGUCGAGCCGCUACAAAGAUAUUGAGGAUCGAAGCUGUUAAGGUACAGAUUGCCGCAGCUCGCGGCGAAAGCUUCCAAAAAUCACGGAAAUGGAAUCGUAGCAUCGUGGUGUCGAGGAAUAAACUCCAGAACAGACGGAUCGCGGAUAGGAGGUCAUUUGGUAGUCGCGCGUCAGUUGGGUCGAGCCGUGCGGCGUGCGCCGCAGGAGGCCGAUUGCGAGUGACGACGAGCAAUCGGAACGCUAUAAAAGGUGGGUGGUGUCCAUCCCGAAUCAAUCGGGCUCCCUUUUAUGUCUAAGUUUAUAUUGAUCAAAUUGCAUAUUGACAUCUUGCAUUAUAGGGUGAUAAAUGAUGGUUUGGUUCAAUACCUUGCAUGUUCUUUGGUAGAAUGAUGUAUUUGGCUUAGUACUUAUAUCUAGCAUGCUUGAGGUUUAUAUAUAUGAUGUGGAACCCUAUAAUGAGAUGAUAAGUGAGGAUGGGAAUUUAGUAAUGUAUUGGCUAUUGCAUUGGAAACUUGUAAAGAACGAGUGGCAUCUAGUUGAUAGUAAACAAAAGAACGAGUGACAUAUG